rnacentral:rRNA from 1 species
GACGAACGCUGGCGGCGUGCUUAACACAUGCAAGUCGAACGGUAAGGCCCUUCGGGGUACACGAGUGGCGAACGGGUGAGUAACACGUGGGUGAUCUACCCUGCACUUCGGGACAAGCCUGGGAAACUGGGUCUAAUACCGGAUAGGACUCCUGGCUUCAUGGUUGGGGGUGGAAAGCUUUUGCGGUGUGGGAUGGGCCCGCGGCCUAUGAGCUUGUUGGUGGGGUAAUGGCCUACCAAGGCGACGACGGGUAGCCGGCCUGAGAGGGUGACCGGUCACACUGGGACUGAGAUACGGCCCAGACUCCUACGGGAGGCAGCAGUGGGGAAUAUUGCACAAUGGGCGCAAGCCUGAUGCAGCGACGCCGCGUGAGGGAUGACGGCCUUCGGGUUGUAAACCUCUUUCAGCUAUGACGAAGCGCAAGUGACGGUAGUAGCAGAAGAAGGACCGGCCAACUACGUGCCAGCAGCCGCCGUAA